UGUGGUGUAACAGACAGCGCACUGGUCUGAUAUACUAGAGAUCCUGGGUUCGAUCCCCGGCA
rnacentral:tRNA from 1 species